rnacentral:rRNA from 1 species
UACCAGCACCCCGAGUGGUCGGGACGAUUAUUGGGCCUAAAGCAUCCGUAGCCGGUCCUGCAAGUCUUCCGUUAAAUCCAGCUGCUCAACAGAUGGGCUGCGGGGGAUACUACAGGGCUAGGAGGCGGGAGAGGCAAGCGGUACUUUAUGGGUAGGGGUAAAAUCCGUUGAUCCAUAGAAGACCACCAGUGGCGAAGGCGGCUUGCCAGAACGCACUCGACGGUGAGGGAUGAAAGCUGGGGGAGCAAACCGG